rnacentral:tRNA from 1 species
UCGGGGCGUGGCUCAGCUGGCUAGAGCGCUCGGUUCGGGACCGUGAGGUCGCUGGUUCAAAUCCAGUCGCCCCGAU